rnacentral:tRNA from 1 species
GGAUUGUGGCUCAGUGGUAGAGUGCUUGCCUAGCAUGUGUGAGGCACUGGGUUCCAUCCUCAGCUCCA